rnacentral:rRNA from 1 species
GAUGAACGCUAGCGGCAGGCUUAAUACAUGCAAGUCGUGGGGCAGCAGGACGGUAGCAAUACCGUUGCUGGCGACCGGCAAACGGGUGCGGAACACGUACACAACCUUCCUUUAAGUGGGGAAUAGCCCAGAGAAAUUUGGAUUAAUACCCCGUAACAUGGUGAAAAGGCAUCUUUUUAUCAUUAUAGCAGCAAUGCGCUUAAUGAUGGGUGUGCGGCUGAUUAGGUAGUUGGCGGGGUAACGGCCCACCAAGCCUUCGAUCAGUAACUGGCGGGAGAGCACGACCAGUCACACGGGCACUGAGACACGGGCCCGACUCCUACGGGAGGCAGCAGUAAGGAAUAUUGGGCAAUGGAGGCAACUCUGACCCAGCCAUGCCGCGUGGAGGAUGAAGGUCCUCUGGAUUGUAAACUUCUUUUAUAUGGGACGAAAAAAGGGUUUUCUAACUCGACUGACGGUACCAUAUGAAUAAGCACCGACUAACUCCGUGCCAGCAGCCGCAGUAAAAC